GUAGUCCACGCCGUAAACGAUGAGAACUAGAUGUUGGGGGGGUUGCCUCCCGGUGUCGCAGCUAACGCGUUAAGUUCUCCGCCUGGGGAGUACGCCGGCAACGGUAAAACUCAAAGGAAUUGACGGGGACCCGCACAAGCGGUGGAGCAUGUGGUUUAAUUCGAUGCAACGCGAAGAACCUUACCUGCCCUUGACAUACUCGGAACUUUCCAGAGAUGGAUUGGUGCCUUCGGGAGCCGAGAUACAGGUGCUGCAUGGCUGUCGUCAGCUCGUGUCGUGAGAUGUUGGGUUAAGUCCCGCAACGAGCGCAACCCUUGUCCCUAGUUGCCAGCACGUAAUGGUGGGAACUCUAGGGAGACUGCCGGUGACAAACCGGA
rnacentral:rRNA from 1 species